CAUAAACCAUUGAAUAAGAGUAGUAGGUAUGUAACAAUAACUUACAGAGAGCUGUGGAUGCUGAGAACAUAGCAGAUUAUGUAUAUACUGAAUGGACUUAUGAGGGCGAACGAACAGGAUUAAAAUCCUAAGUAGCAAUCGACGGCAACCGCAGUCGUUAUCAAGCGGAGCGUAUGAUAGUACGUAUUAAAGGUGGGUGCUUUUGUGCAUCAAUUUGAGUGGUACCGCAGGAUAUUUCGUCUUGUCU
rnacentral:ncRNA from 1 species